CUCCUGUCCCGGGACCCACCCAGGCGGAGGCAAGGGCAGGGGCGCUGGGGGCCCAGAGAGAGGGCGCCGCGAUGGAUGAAUGAGCUGUUUCCAGCAUUCCUGCUGAAUAUGAAGGCAACUCGGACUAAGAAGACGACUGCUUUCCAACUGCCCUCCCGUCCUGCAGCCGCCUGAUUUGAGGAAGGGGCUGGGAUCCUUCCCCUUGCCCUCUGGUUGUUCUUGGAGUUACAGCAGCCCCGCGGCAGCUCUGCCCCCUAGUGCACAUGUGAGGCAGCGCGCCCUUCUCCAAUCCAGAAGCCUCGUCGCGGUGCUGCCAGCAAGGGAGUUUUUCUGUAUUCACUUUGGUGGAAAUAGCAAAACUUGACAGAAAAAAAACCCAAGCCAAACCAAAACACACGAACCAUUCUAGCCUUUUCUCUCUUUCGUUUCUUUCUGAGGAUCUGGCCGAUUUGGAUGCAGAAAACAUGCCUGUUGCUUCUGCUGCGAAAUCUGCUCUUUCUCUUCCUGCUAUCGGAACCCUGUCCCUUCUUUCAAAGCCUAAUUCAGGCCAGGCGCGGUGGCUCACGCCUGUAAUCCCAGCACUUUGGGAGGCCGAGACAGACGGAUCACUUGAGGUCAAGAGUUUGAGACCAGCCUGGCCAAAAUGGUGAAACCCUGUCUCUACUAAAAAUACAAAAAUUAGCUGGACAUGGUAGCACACGCCUGUAAUCCCAGCUACUCGGGAGGCUGAGGCAGGAGAAUCACUUGAACCCGAGAGACGGAGGUUACAGUGAGCUGAUAUCAGGCCACUGCACUCCAGCCUGGGUGACAGAGUGAGACUCCAUCUCAAAAAAAAAAAAAAAAAAGCCUAUUUCAAAUUCCACCCCUUGCCUAAAAACUUUUCCUGACUUCUGACUUUCCUCUCCUAUGCGUCUUUUUUAUUUUUUAUUUUUGAGCUGGAGUCUCACUGUGUCACCCAGGCUGGAGUGCAGUGUCGCAAUCUCCGCUCACUGCAACCUCCGCCUCUGGGGUUCAAGCAGUUCUGCCUCAGCCUCCCGAGUAGCUGGGAUUACAGCCACCCGCCACCAUGCCUGGCUGAUUUUUUGUAUUUUUAGUAGAGACGGGGUUUCAUCAUGUUUGUCAGGCUGGUCUCGAACUCCUAACCUCAAGUGAUCCACCCGCCUUGGCCUCCCAAAGUGCUGGGAUUACAGGCAUGAGCCACCGCGCCCAGCCAUCCUAUAUGUCUUUUGAAAUAUGGCUGUACACAGGCUCAGCACACAGUGUGCACUUAUAUACUGUAUUUCUUUAUUGGGGUCCAAGUCUGUGCAUCUUUUGUGUUCACAGACCCCAGGGUGCCCAGCACAGGGCUGGGGACACAAACUGCUCUCAAUAAGCCCCUGUUUAUUAAUUAAUUGAUUAGCUUCCACAGAAACAACUGAGGUUUUGCUUCAAUAAACCUUGCAGAACUCUUAGUUCUUUAGGGACUCUGGAUAGUGAUCUAAUCAAAUAUGGCCUUGCACAGUAAGUCAUUUCACAAAGCAAUUUCACAAGAGAACACUAACAUCACCCAGAGUGGGAUGAGGAAGUCUGAAAUUUGAAGUGGACUCUCAGAAAGAUGAGGAAGGUGGCGGUGCUGUAGACAGGUCAAAGGACAAUGACUUAGGAGAGGUGGGUCUCUGCUUCUGGGAUAGAAGACGCAGCACGGGCCCUAGAGUUAGCUUCAUAUCCAGACUCUACCACUUGCUGUAUGUCCCUGGGCAAGUUUACUCUUCUCUCUGUGCCUCAGUUUUCUCCUCUGUAAAAAAAGGCCGGGCAUGGUGGCUCCUGCCUGUAAUCCCAGCACUUUGGGGGGCCAAGGUGGGCGGAUCACCAGCGGUCAGGAGCUUGAGACGAGCCUGGACAACAUGGUGAAAACCCAUCUCUACUAUAAAUACAAAAAUUAGCAAGGUGUGGUGGCACGCGCCUGUAGUCCCAGCUACUCUGGAGACUGAGGCAGGAAAAAUCGCUUGAACUCAGGAGGCAGAGGUUGCAGUGAGCCAAGAUCGCACCACUGCAGUCCAGCCUGGGUGACUGAGCAAGACUCCGUCUCCAAAAAAAAAAAAAAAAAAAAAAGUACCUAUCUCAUAGUGAUACAAUGAGGGUGAAUUAGCUGGUAUUUGUAAAGUGCUAAAGCAACACCUUGCACCUCGUAAGUACCAUGUAACUGUUUGUAAAUGAAUUUUCCAGCUUAGCUGUCUUGUCAUUGGAAUGGGGAUUGAUUAUAUGUUCUCUUGGUUCCCUCGAGCAGUGACCUUUCAGGGCAGUGCAUAAGCUUUGGGGUCAGGCAGGUCUGGGUUGACUCCUAUCUUUGUCGGUAGUUGUGUGACUUUGCACAGAUAACUUCUCGGAACCUCAGUGUUCUUAUCUGUGAAAUGGGAAUAAUUGUGUCUACUUCAAAAGACUGUUGUGGGUAUUGCAUGUUUGUAAUGUGCCUGGCACAGAAGGAGUGUAAUAAACAGAAGCUAUAGUUAUUAUUGUGGACAAGAGCAGCCACAUGUAAAGGAAAAUAGAGUUUCCAAGGUCAUUGAAGUUUCCAGAAAGACUGAACAUAUCAGAUAGCAAUGAGACCAGCUCA
rnacentral:lncRNA from 1 species